UACGGAAGGGGGCUAGCGUUGUUCGGAAUUACUGGGCGUAAAGGGCUCGUAGGCAGCCAACUAAGUCGGACGUGAAAUCCCCAGGCUCAACCUGGGAACUGCGUCCGAUACUGGAUGGCUUGAAUUCGGGAGAGGGAUGCAGAAUUCCAGGUGUAGCGGUGAAAUGACGUAGAUAUACUGGAGGAAUACCGGUGGCGAAGGCGGCAUCCUGGACCGACAUUGACGCUGAGGAGCGAAAGCUAGGGGAGCAAACGGGG
rnacentral:rRNA from 1 species